AUUUUAUUUUACACAGUUUAAGGCUAUCAAUAUAUUUAAUUCAAAAUGAUUAUUUAUUUUUUCUUGAUUGUGUUAACAUUUGAAACAUUAUAAACCUUACGCUCUUCUUAUCGACUUCCUGUAAAGUUAUUAGAAGUAGAGUUGACUCAGUAUACUUAGGACUUUAGGAGCCAUCGAUGUGAUGGUGAUGUGGAACUUCCAUUUUCCGUGAACGCAUUCAUAAUAUGACAGUUAUGGGUAGCUUCUCUCACGUUCUUAGAAACGUCAAUGUCAAUUUCGGCAAAUGUACAUUAUAUUAAUAAAGUUUAACCGAAAUAGAAAAUAAUAAGACUAAUCAAAAUAUCCUUGUAUUUAUGUUAAUUUUACCACAAUUCCAUAACUAUUGUUAUUUAAUUUAAACUUAAUUAGUUAUAUUACAACACUUAAGAUGUUGAUCAAAGUAAAGACACUAACUGGAAAAGAGAUCGAAAUAGAUAUAGAACCUACUGAUAAAGUGGAGCGUAUUAAGGAAAGAGUUGAAGAGAAGGAAGGCAUUCCACCACAACAACAGCGACUCAUAUUUUCUGGAAAGCAGAUGAAUGAUGAGAAAACAGCGCAGGAUUAUAAAGUGCAGGGUGGGUCUGUGCUUCAUUUGGUGUUGGCUCUGAGAGGGGGUGAAUGAUCUCUAGUGAUUAAUUUCUCCAUUUUAUAAUACUUUUUAUUUAAUUUUUCUUUUCCUGUAUAAAGUAAAACACAUAAUGUAAAAUAGUUAGUUUAAUUACAACCCACACAAUUGCCUCACAUAUUAAUAAGAUUUUUCUAUUUUUUUUUUUAUUUACCUACAUUAUUAUUAAGUAAUUAUAAAAUAUAAUCCACAAUGAAUUAUAACCAAUAAGACAAUAAAAUAUAAGUUUAUAGUAUUUUUUGUUGUGAUAUACUUAUAAGGUUAGCAUGCAUACUUACAUUUUCAAUCACCCUAUUAGAAAAAGAAAAUAUUUUCAAGUGAUGUCAAUAAAAUAAGUACAGCUAAUUAAACACAGCAUACCUUUGAUCUUCUAAAUAGUAGCAACAAAAAAUUAUUAUCAAAUAUGUCAAUCAUUUAAGAUUUUUUGUUAACUAUUCAAACCAAGAGUUUGAGUAUUUCCUCAUUGUUGA
rnacentral:misc_RNA from 1 species